rnacentral:sRNA from 1 species
AAAUGGUACUUUAUUUAUAUUUAUAUAUGUUUAUGAAUGUUUAUGUUUAUACAUUUUGUGUGUCUUUAUAAUCAGACGAAGAAGAGAAAACAUCAGCUUUUGUUAGCUUUGGAGAAUAUGAACUAUCUAGGAACAAUGUUAUUAUAAAAGAUCUUUUAAUUUCAAAUACCACUUCGCAAGUUUGGAAAGGAAAAAUGAAUGGAAGUAUUGACGUUGCUGUAAAAAUUCUAAAUUCUGAAACUAUGUCCAAAGAUGAAUUUUUGAUUGAAGCGAAAAUACUAAGCAAGAUAAAGAAUAAACAUAACAUACAAUUUUUAGGUGUGGUAUUGGAAAAGCCGUUAUACAUUGUCACAGAGUUAAUCCCGAACGGAACAUUGUUGAAUGUUCUAAAAAGUGAUAGUGGAAAGUCAAUAAAACUUGACAAUAU